CUGCUGCUAUGCCAGCCACCACUCACCACCUGAGCCACAAGCACUGCACUGCCCAGGAAUGUCCAGCUGGGAAAAUCAGCAGCAGCAAGCUAGCUAAUUCUCCAACAGAAAGAUGAAGUAUUGAGAAAUGGAUGAAUUGACGCAGUGACCAAAAUCAAACUACUUUUGCAAAUAAUAGUUUAAUUAAUUCACUAAUAAUAAGGCUUGUGACGAUGUGCCCGGAGAUGCAUGGAAUAAGCAAGCUAGUUAAGCAGAUAGCUAUGUGACCUGUUAGCAAAGAUUACGAUAACUUACCCUUUCAUAUGUGGUGUUAGCUAGCUAGCUAUAUUAGCUACUAUGCUAGCUAGCUGGCUAGAUAAACAUGGUGUUAAGAUAUCAGAUAGGAGCUAAUAGCCAACGUAGUUAGCUAACGUUACCUGGUUAUCAUUUUGAACAUGCACCAUGUUUAGCAAUACUAUAUGAUAUGAGCGAUGGAGACAGAUGUGAGGAGAUGUGAAAGGGAGCGUAGUUAAAGCCUUGCUCUAUCCAAUCGUAGCAGUAGGAUGAAGUCAGUUAUUAGUUAUUAGGCUAUUAUUAGUUAUUAGGCCAUUAGAGUUAUUAGGCUAUUAGAGUUAUUAGGCUAUUAUAGCUAUUAGAGUUAUUAGGCUAUUAGAGUUAUUAGGCUAUUAUUAGUUAUUAGGCUAUUAUUAGUUAUUAGGCUAUUAUUAGUUAUUAGGCUAUUAUUAGUUAUUAGGCUAUUAUUAGUUAUUAGGCUAUUAUUAGUUAUUAGGCUAUUAUUAGUUAUUAGGCUAUUAUUAGUUAUUGGGUUAUUAGGUAUUGGGCUAUUAUUAGUUAUUGGGCUAGUAUUAGUUAUUAGGCUAUUAGAUUUAUUAGGCUAUUAUUAGUUAUUGGGUUAUUAGAGUUAUUGGUUAUUAGGCUGUUAUUAGUUAUUAGGCUAUUAUUAGUUAUUAGGCUAUUAGUUGGACUGGGCGAUAUGACCAAAAUUUCAUAUCACAAUAUUUGAAAACAUUUUGAUGGUAUAUACAGUAUUUGACAGAAUUGAGUGUUUUUGAAUAAUACAGGUUUUAAAUGUGCUUUAUGAGUUGACCCUUGGGUGGCAUCACAUACAUUCUGGGAUUUCAAUGGUUCUUUCUCCAUUCUGGUUGUUUUCUACUAUUAUGGGCCCAGGUCAACAGUAGUGCACUACAUGGGGAAUAGAGGGACAUUUGGAAUGCAGCCUUAGUUAGGACAGACAUGAGGCUCUGCUGCUGACUCCUAACCCAGUUGGCGUGGCUGGCAGCUAGCUAGUCAACAUCUCCUGGGACACUCCUCUCCUCCUCCCUCCUCUCCUCUCCUCCUGAUAAGAACACGUCUGAGACCUUGGGAAGUCCAGAGGGAGAAGCAUGUUGACAAAACAGGGAGAGAGAUAUGCUUUCCUCUCCACCUCUCCUCCCCUGGCCUCUCCUCUGCCUCUCUUACUCUCCUCCCCUGGCCUCUCCUCUACCUCUCCACCUCUCCUCCCC
rnacentral:lncRNA from 1 species